UCGUGCAGGGGAGGGACGGGGGGAGGGAGAUUUCCAAGCAGGCUCCACGCUGUCAGCACAGAGCCCGAGGCGAGGCUCCAUCUCAUGAACCGUGAGAUCAUGACCUGAGCCAAAAUCAAGGGUCAGUCAUUUAAAUGACUGAGCCACCCAGGUGUCCCUAAUAUGUCCUUUUUGGAAAACAAACAAACAAACAAAAAAAACCCUGUACCAGCUCUACUGUAUGUGUUGCAUUUUCCUGUUCCAUAGGAGAUUCACUUUGGGGUAGGGGAAGUGUUCUCUGUUCAAAAAUCUCUCUUCCUCUCUGUCUCCUUGUAUCUAUCUAUUAUCUAUCAACUCUCUCGCUCGCUCGCUCGCUCGCUCUCUUUCUUUCUAAACAAUCACUGAGACAAAUUGGUCUGCUGUGUUAUAUGAUUGAGGAUAGUCCUCAGUGUAGAGAAAUUCACAUGAUCUGGAACAAUGUAUAGAAUAAAAUAGUGAUCUUGGGGUACCUAGAAUCCAGCUGGCUUCAUACAUCAGCCAGAUCUACCUAAAGCAAGUCAAAUUUCUAGGAACUGGAGCAUUCAUAGUUGGAUUCUCUGAACAUCCAUCUUGUCAGAUUUUGCCCUGGAUUUGACUCGCCCACCUGGUACUUUCCACCUUCCAACAUCCCGAACAUACUCACACUUCUGUAAUGUAACUUGGACAAUGCUUCUCUCCUAAUGCAGGUUUGAUUGCUCACUGCUCUUACGUUUUAUGUUUCUGGAAACGCUUUCCAGAAUAUUUCCUUCUCUGGACUUGGGUUUGCCUAUCCUAACACAAAAACAUUUGUCUCCUUUGAGCACGGGAAGCUCCACGGUCCUUGAAAACAUUCCUUUGGGCGGGAAAAGCUUGUACCCACUAGUGCUUUGGCACCCAUUAAGUCAACAAGUAUUUGUCCCCAGCAGGUGGGAUUAGCACAGUGGGGUGGAGUCUCAGAUUGCCUAACUGUGAGAAAGAGAGGAAAAGGAAAAGGAAGCAAGUGAAAGACCCCAGGAGGGGAAGAUGGGAAAUUGCCAAAUCUGUCAAGAACACAAAUGUCCUGAUGUUCUCAGAAGAGUUUCGGUUUCUGUCAUCAAGGAGCUUUACAAAUAUUUUUGAAGACAAAGCAUAGACUGGAAAAAUUAAAUGAUUAUACAGGUAUGUAGGAGUUCGCUCUUGAAGUUGAUGGAUCAUAGAGUUCUAUGAGAGUUCAUAAGUUUAGAGUUCAUCUCUGUUGGAUGAUUUGUGUAUCGAUGGACACCUAAACGUAAAAACCAAAACGAUUACGCUGAGCCAACAUCCUUGUCGCAUCCUUAAUUUUAUGGAAAAUUAGGGGAAAAUGUUAAGAUCGCAAAUAUUCCUGUUCUGGUUAAUAGGAACAACUCACAUUGGAAAGACAGCUUUCCCAGUCAAUGGGUGGGAAUACAUUAUGGAGUUUUUGCUCAUGAAAAGAGGCAGAAAGUUGUUACCCUAAUCAAGGUCAUUGGCAGCAGCAGGACCUGACCUGGCUGGUGAUGCUAGGUUCAACCCGCUCCCAUUUCUGUAGAUUUGGUUUGUUUGUUGUUAAUAAAAAUAAUCACUUCACACACAUUUAUAUUCAAAUAGAGACUCAGAAGUCAAUAAAUGAAUCUAUUCACUCGGUUGAGUAAAGCAAUCCAAUUUUCCCAGUGUGUGCACAUGUGUUUGUGGUUUGCUAAUAUUUUUUUUUGUCUUUUUGAGAAAUACAUAUGCUAUAGCUUCAAGGGUGGAAAAUUUUACACACUUCUGUAGGGAGGAAGUUUAAUUGUAACCCUUUUGCAUAUAUUCUUGGAGAAAAUCUAUUUUCUAAAAAAAUAGAUAAUUCCUUAGCACCUAGGAAUACAAAUAAAAUAUUAUAUUGACAUAUCCUCUUCCAGCCUUUCCAGAUAAGAAUAUAAGGUCACUUUCUGUGCCUCAUCUUGGGGCUCUGCUAAUUCUACGUAAAACAUAAACACAUCCUAGAAAACAGCAAGGAGAUAUUCCAGUUAUAACCUUCCAAAUACAUUCCACUUCUCAGCAUGCUAGAAUAUAUUUAAAACAGAUUAUAUUUUCCCUCUGUGUUUCAGUUUUCACAGUUAAUAAGACAGGCAUUUUCAUGGCUGGCUUGCUGUUUUCAUGGGUAGCAAAUAUUCUGAUUAGUAUUCCAGAUACCAAGUUUACUGAAUUUUAUCCAGAAUAGAAGGUGCCAUAAACAUGAAAGAUUUUACUUCUUGCCAUCUAUAUUCAAAAUAUCAAAAUAGUUCUAAUCACACAAAAAAAUAGUUCUAAUCAGAUCAUUAAAUAUGUCAUGAUUGCUUUGGUAGCUGGCGUUUCUAAAGAAAUGUCUUGUGAACUAAUUUGUCCUGAAGGAUUUUCAUGCCAAGCAGGAGCGGGUGAGAUUAAAAAAAAUAAUCUCCUAGCAUUAAUCGCAUAUUCAAAACUGUAAAAUAAAACCUUGCUUCUCACUAGAGAGAAGGCAAGCAGGAAGUUCCUAACAUUGACUGAGUGUUAAGAGUUUCAGUUCUUAUGACCUGAAUUUCUUUGCUAUUUUAUCACACGUGAUCAACCUGUUAACCACUCCGCUGAGUGUAAAUAGUUGUGUUAGCCACUGGUAAAUUUCUCUCAUUAUUCUUGUGAAAUUUACAGAAUCAGUUUGGUUUUAGUGCAAAAUAUACUUACCCUCCCAACUUCUAUCUUCAUGGGAAAAAUUGAACCAGCAUUUCCAAAAGAGAAGAAGCUUAGUCAUUUCCCUCUACCAUUUCCUCAAUUUGAUUCAUUCUGAGUUUUACAGUAUUAAGGAUGGCAUCAUCCUAAGAUAAGUAAAGUCCAGCAAAGUGAUUGGCGGGAUAAUGGAAGAAAAUGUGGAUGCCCUGUGUGUUGGGGGGGAGAGAUGGACAUUGCCAAGGGAAGUGAUGAACCAACAACAUAGAGGUCAUGGGAAUUGCUGUCACAACUUCUAGAGAUCAGCCAAAAACCACGAAGUGAGUUUUCUUUUUAAUUUUAAAUAUUCUGCAUAAAAAUGUGGGGUAAUAUCACUGUUACAUGGGCUUAAAAGUUCACCGGUAAGCCUGGGCAUUCUAUUUGUUAGUUGAACACUAGUAUCUUGAGUCGCCUGCACCAGGAACCACAGCUUGAAAGCACCUGCAUCUAAAAUAAUAUCCUGCGCCUACACUGACAGCGUGGGUACCAGGUAAGCUGUUGUCCAAUCUCACACUAUUGAGAAUUUUCCAGAAAGGGACAUAUUUAAUUCAGGCUGCCAUACAAUAAGUAACAUGGUCCUCUCUCUUCUAAUACACUCCCAGGUACGUUUGAUAGGGGGUGAGGAUACACAGCUGACUGGCCAGCUCGUGCCAUCCGGUGAAUGUUCCAUGACAGGCACUGGCUUCAGCAGUCUUGGAGAAAUCAGCCUUUUCUCUUGGGAAAUACUCAUCAGUGUGUUCAAAUACUGACAGAAGAGGUGCUGAAAACAGUUUUAAUUUGAUCUUAGAUGUUUUCCCAAAGAAACGAAGCAGAGCGAAAGUAGAAGUCGUCGGUCAGCGGAAUGAUUGUGCGUAAAAGUUCUCUGUUGCUGAGGUAACAAAGAGGCCUAAUUCUACCAUUGGAGAGAUAGUUGUUGAGGAAAGAGUUAACAAGCUGAUAGGAGAGUGAUCUAGAAACCAGAAAAGAAUUUCACCUCUUAAAGAUAGAAUGCAUCACACGUUUACCUUCCUGAAGAAAAUAAUACCUAUGGAGUGGAGUAAAGUCUGCUUAGUCUUUGUGUUGUGUAACGUAAAUUCUGAACAGUUAUGGCAGCCAACUGGAGGUCUUGUGUACUGCUUAAUUAUAUCAUCUUUGGAUUGAGAGAGCCAUAGAUUCUAAAAGUCUGCUAUUGUCUUCAUCAUUUUCUAGAUAAUCUUAUCGAGGGGCUAUUAUAUGACAACUGUUGUGUACGUAAUUUGGAGGACAAAAGCAUUCAUUCCUGAUGUACGUGUAUUCACCGGUGGAGAUACACCUCUCCAAGGCAGCAUGUGCACAGGCAUGGCCUCAGGCUGCAGAAACCUGAAAGUAGGACCAGAAGAGGAAGAACCCUUUAGAAUGAAAUGCAGUUGGAAGGAGAAUCAUGAGAGCUCACAGCUUACUUACCAGCUCUGACACGUAUAUUUGGUAAUUGAUGAUUAAAAGUGAAAGCAAACCAGCUGUUAAAUGAAAAUAAAGAAUAUACUGCGUUGCUCC